CGGGACACGCCCGGAUCCGGCUUUGCCUCAUCCCCAUCUCCCCUUUUUCCCGCAGGGCUCCGGGCGGCCGUGACCCUGCUGGAGUCCGGGGGGGACCUCCAGCCCCCCGGGGGGUCCCUGCGCCUCCUCUGCCGCGGGGACGGAUUCGACAUCGGGAAAUUUGGGGUGUCCUGGGUGCGCCAGAGGCCCGGGAAGGCGCUGGAAUUCAUUUCAGCCGUCAGCAGGAAGAGCGGCAAGACGUUCUACGCGCCGUGGGUGCAGGGCCGGCUGACGAUGGGCAGCGACAACGGGCAGAGCUCGGUGACGCUGAGCAUGAACAACCUCCAGGACGAGGAUUCUGGGGUUUAUUUCUGCGCCAAAACGUUUGGAAAUAGCUGGAACACUGCUUCUCUUGGUCACGGUGACGAUGCCGGUGCCAGGCCCAAGCCACCAUCGUUAGUGUAUAGCAAACUCCCCUGA